UUGCACCUAAUAAAAUACACUUAUGCACAUAACCGAAAUAAUACAAAUGAAUUGCAGAAUAGUGACAACCGAAAUAAUAAUUGUUCAUAACACUUGUUCAUACAAACGAAUUAACACUUGUUCAUAAGAACCAAAAUAAGACAGAGUACAUAACAACCGAGAUAACAGAAAUUACAUAAGCGAAGAACACUUCUUCAUAUCAUUGUUGUUUCAAGGACCACAACCCAUCAGCGACCCAACCUCUGAAUUGAUUCAUAGCAGCACUGUCCAUUUCAUUUGUUG
rnacentral:lncRNA from 1 species